GACGAACGCUGGCGGCGUGCUUAACACAUGCAAGUCGAACGGAAAGGCCCUGCUUUUGUGGGGUGCUCGAGUGGCGAACGGGUGAGUAACACGUGAGUAACCUGCCCUUGACUUUGGGAUAACUUCAGGAAACUGGGGCUAAUACCGGAUAGGAGCUCCUGCUGCAUGGUGGGGGUUGGAAAGUUUCGGCGGUUGGGGAUGGACUCGCGGCUUAUCAGCUUGUUGGUGGGGUAGUGGCUUACCAAGGCUUUGACGGGUAGCCGGCCUGAGAGGGUGACCGGCCACAUUGGGACUGGGAUACGGCCCAGACUCCUACGGGAGGCAGCAGUGGGGAAUAUUGCACAAUGGGCGGAAGCCUGAUGCAGCAACGCCGCGGGCGGGAGGACGGCCUUCGGGUGGUAAACGGCUUUCGCCUGUGACGAGGCGUGAGUGACGGUAGUGGGUAAAGAAGCACCGGCUAACUACGUG
rnacentral:rRNA from 1 species